GACGAACGCUGGCGGCGUGCCUAAUACAUGCAAGUUGAGCGCUGAAGGUUGGUACUUGUCCCAACUGGAUGAGCAGCGAACGGGUGAGUAACGCGUGGGGAACCUGCCUUCGAGCGGGGGACAACAUUUGGAAACGAAUGCUAAUACCGCAUAAAAACUUUAAACACAAGUUUUAAGUUUGAAAGAUGCAAUUGCAUCACUCAAAGAUGAUCUCGCGGUGUUUUAGCUAGUUGGUGAGGUAAGGGCUCACCAAGGCAAUGAUACAUAGCCUGCCGGAGAGGGGGAGCGGCCCCAAUGGGACUGAGACAAGGCCCAAACCAAUACGGGAGGGAGCGGUAGGGAAUCUUCGGCAAUGGACGAAAGUCUGACCGAGCAACGCCGCGUGAGUGAAGAAGGUUUUCGGAUCGUAAAACUCUGUUGGUAGAGAAGAACGGUAGUGAGAGUGGAAAGCUCAUAAAGUGACGGUAACUACCCAGAAAGGGACGGCUAACUACGUG
rnacentral:rRNA from 1 species